rnacentral:rRNA from 1 species
CCUACGAGUGGCUGCAGUGAGGAAUAUUGGUCAAUGGGCGGAAGCCUGAACCAGCCAAGUCGCGUGAGGGAUUAAGGCCCUGCGGGUCGUAAACCUCUUUUGCCGUGGAGCAAAGGUCCGGACGUGUCCGGGCCGGGAGAGUACCCGGAGAAAAAGCAUCGGCUAACUCCGUGCCAGCACCCGCGGUAAUACGGAGGAUGCGAGCGUUAUCCGGAUUUAUUGGGUUUAAAGGGUGCGUAGGCGGGCAUUUAAGCCGGCGGUCAAAUGUCGGGGCUCAACCCCGGCCUGCCGUCGGAACUGGGUGCCUUGAGUGGGCGAGAAGUAUGCGGAAUGCGUGGUGUAGCGGUGAAAUGCAUAGAUAUCACGCAGAACCCCGAUUGCGAAGGCAGCAUACCGGCGCCCUACUGACGCUGAGGCACGAAAGUGCGGGUAUCGAACAGGAUUAGAUACCCCUGUAGUC